GUGGAGCUCAUCAUUUUUGGUGAUAUUUCUGCACCCUCUACAGUCAGCUCCUGAGUGAAUGGACUCGGCUGAUGGAAAAAGUGAGCAUGUUGAAAGAGGAUAACAGAAAGCUGCAGGGGAGCAGAUUUUACUACAAGAAUCCUGUGAGGAGGCAAGGAGGCUCUGUGAGGAGGCCCAUGAGAAGAUCUAUGACCUGUGGACAAAGCAGCAGCAGGAACAUCAAAGACUUGAGGAAGAUCUUCAGUCCCUGAUGAAGCAGAAGGAGCUGCUCAUGCGGCAAAGGGACUUGGCAGCAAAGCUGCAGCAUCACUUCACUGUGUCCCAGAUGAGCACCUGAUAAGAAAACUGAGAAGGCUGGAAGAAGCCAGAGACACCUUAAGGCAUGAUAUUCUACACUCCAGGUUCAAGGCCUCCUCA